rnacentral:lncRNA from 1 species
UUUCUAUUCAAUAAUGAGUUGCUUUUUGUUUACAGGGCAGUACAUGCAAAAAUAAGAAGCAAGCACUGUCAUAUAUAAUUUUUGAAUUCUAAUACAUGGCCAUGGGAAGUAUUAACUGACAACGUACAUCAUAUAUAUUGCAACUCUAUUUCUUGAAAAAUUCAGUCCAUAUACAGUCAAUUUAUAAUACAUGUAUAACAAAUUUACAAGCUGUUUAGUAUUUUUAUACUUUGAUCUUGCUCAGACAUGGUAACGCUUAGAUUUUAAUCAUCAGCUUCGUUAGGUGUCCUAAGUGUUGUCAUCAUAGCUCAAGCAAACAGAGUAAAUCAUUCCAAUUAAUGUUUGAUUGUUCCUAAUACACAUGUAUUCAGUCAUGCUUUAAUAGGAACACAUUUUAUUUCAUUAGGAUACCAAUGACCUUACCAAUUACAUACCAAAUGAAACCUUUUGUUAUUUGAAUUAACCUGAAACUUUUAGUUUUC